rnacentral:rRNA from 1 species
UACGGGGGGGGCAAGCGUUGUUCGGAAUUACUGGGCGUAAAGGGCUCGUAGGUGGCCAACUAAGUCAGACGUGAAAUCCCUCAGCUUAACUGGGGAACUGCGUCUGAUACUGGAUGGCUUGAGUUUGGGAGAGGGAUGCGGAAUUCCAGGUGUAGCGGUGAAAUGCGUAGAUAUCUGGAGGAACACCGGUGGCGAAGGCGGCAUCCUGGACCAACACUGACACUGAGGCGCGAAAGCGUGGGGAGCAAACGGG